GAGAGAGCGAGAGACAGGGAGGAGGGAGAUGGAGGCCCGAAGAGGCGCCACAGACAGGCAGAAUGACAAAUAGUAAUAAACACCAGCCUCUGGCUUCAUUUCAUGUGAGGAUGUAGCCCUCGAUGUCAGCCAGAGGAGGAAUCCAAGUCAAAGAAGCAGAGUCCAUCGUCACAUCUGCAGCCUUCAGGUCCUUGGGGGAAUCAAUUUCUGCGGCCUGGAGUAGAAGCCAUUCAUCGCUCUUUAUUCCCCUAAUGAACCCGCGAUGAUGAGCGUGAGAUUAAUGUGUUUGACAGCACAGCUUUUCAGCCUCUCUCCAUCUGAAGCACAGCAACAGUGAUGACUACCAUCUGCCGGCACAGUUACAAUUUGCCUUUUGCAAAUAAACUAGCAGUUAC